UUAAGUUUGAUUUCAGCUCAUGUUUUCCACAUAACAUAACAUAUCUAUUAGAUGUAUAUUAGACAUCAUAAAUACCCAUUUAAUAUCUAGUAAUUUGUUGACACUAUAUAGUUAUUUAUUUUAUAUACACAGAAAGUAAUUGGUAGAUGAGCUAGAAUAGACAUUAUGGAUAUACAUUAGACAUUGAUAUUUCGUAACUAAUGGACUUCGUAUUAUUGAUGUUAAUGUACAUAUAUUAGAUACCUCAUCACAAUUAGAUACAUGUAUCAUCUACAUAUAUUUUUAUUUUUAACUAUGGGAACUAUUGUAACUAGGAGUCUCGUUUUUGUACGUAAAUAUGAAUGUACGUGUCCACGUAUACCGUGAUCACGUGAAUGAAACAAAAUAAAUCACGUAUGGUUAAUACACGUGAAUUAACUAAAGCUUAAUCACGUGAACACGUAUCGUAAUCAUAUUCACGAGAAAACGUGAAUUAGUAUAUUCACGUGAACAGGCAUUUAUCGAAAACUUGAUUGUAAAAGAAAAUAGUCAUUUUUAGAACAAAAAGAUUUUGUUAACUUUGUUAAUAAUGCCUACACGGUGGUCAUAUAUUGCAUUACAAAAACCGAUUUUAUGUACUGUUUAUUUAGUUAUAUUUUAUUUGAAAAUGUGUUUACAAUUUUACUGAUUAACUUCGCGCUUAUUUAUCUUUAUUGAACUUAUUGAACUCGUAGUGCCCGUUGCGUGUGUCUUAUCUGGUAGUUGGAUAGGAGGUAGUGACUAUAUCGAUAUCUUGAUGAUAAUAUGAUAUUAAACACUUUAGUGUACGACGCUUUUAGUUUGCGUGCAAGUGAUCGUAUUCAUUAAAAAAUUUAAGUUUUCUCGCAAAAUGGUGAAAAGAAAAAGUUGGGUAUGGGAUUAUGCCAAACGUGAAGGUGAUCGCGCCUUUUGUGAUUUAUGUGACAGUGAAAAUAAUAAUGAAUAUUCAUGUGUAGGCGGCACGACAUGUUCUUUAAUAAGACAUUUACAAAAUUGUCAUGGUAUUAAAGCACCAGAAGAAUCUAUAUGAAAGAGGUACACGUAGUAAAUCAUAAUUUGAUCAAAUUUAAAGUUCACUUAUGGUUGACGAUUCUCUGAUGCAAUCAAAUUUGCUUGUGCCACAUACCGGAACCUCUGGAUCUCCUGCGUAAUUAUUUUAUAUAACAAAUAUACAAUGUACACACUAUAA